rnacentral:lncRNA from 1 species
AUGCUGUUUAUUUCCACGCCGGAUGUCCGACAUCAAGCCCCGGAACUUUCAAACGAUUCUAAGCGCCGCUCCGGCUUCUGCGUGCGAGUUGUUCGACGGGGGACAAAAGCGACGAGGACUGUAUUGUACCGAUAUAAAACACCUAGUCGGCUUUCUAUUUCCGAUCUCUUUCGGGCCCAGAAUGCAGAACUAAGUGCUCAGUCUCACUGGCGCCGCUGCUGUUCCGCUUUCUUCUCUUGUGCGCCGAUUCCCAGCGGAGUUCUCAUACUGGUGAGCACUUAAAACACCGACAUAAGCACUAAGAGGCUGCCGGGAAGCACCAGCUCCCUCGAAUACAGUUCAAUUAUAACGCGAGCUUGACGGCAGCAGCUCUCUCACCCUGCAAGUCAGACCGGGCAGCCCACUGGAGCUCAGCAGGUGUGAGCCUGGUCAGUACCUGGAUGGGAGACUCCUGGGAAAACUGAGGUUGCUGCUGGAAGAGGUGUUAGUGGGGCCAGCAGGGGGCGCUCACCCUGCAGUCUAUGUGGGUCCUAAUGCCUCAGUAUAGUGACGGGGACACUAUACUAUAAACAAGCGCCGUCCUUUUGGUGAGAUGUAAAACCAAGGUCCUGACUCUCUGUGGUCAUUAAAACUCCUAGGGCGUUUCUCGAAAAGAGCAGGGGUGUAACCCCGGUGUCCUGGUCCCAAGCGCUAUAGAAGUGUAAGGAAUUAUUAUUAUUAUUAUUAUUAUUAUUAUUAUUAUUAUUAUUAUUAUUAUUAUUAUUAAUCACGGAGGCCCGUCUCCUGACCGGACGCUCUUCGUGGCGGGCGCGCGGGGAGCGAGCACUGAUCGUCCUUCCUCCCGACCUCCGCCCGACAUCCCGCCAAAUAAAUACCUGACAAAACCCCAGUCUGCCGGCUGCGUGCGGCUCGCGUGUUCUGGUAUUCACAGUAAAUAACACAGUAACCUGUUGGCUCACUUGUUUAUUGUUCCACGGAAGCAGAGCGUCCACACGAGUCAGCGCUCUCUAUACACGUGACCCGAGCGGCCGGUCCAUUGCGGGGUUUAUUACAGGCGAUUAUGUUUAUCGCCUCGCGUUACACAUUAGCUUGUAUCCUUUUACGACUUUCUGUGGGGAACCGAGAUCGUGUGUGUGUGUGUGCGGGGGUACAGCUUCAGAACCUGUUUUGCAUGAAGAUGAAUCGACGCCACACGGAACUCUGAAUGUCCUCGGUUUUUUAUCAUAAUAAUUGCACUUGUAUAGCGCUUCUCUACAGUAAUGGGUAACCAGUGAUGCGCCCGCAGCCCGUCUCCAGCUGUACAGUUGGUACUGUGGCGCUGCACCGCUGCGACCCGGUUCGAGGGUUCCAGAGCGAACUCGGGGCUUUUUUCUGCUUGUGACCGUUUCUGGUAUCUUUAUCACUUGAAGGGGUUCCAGACAUUUAAAAAGCACACGGUGUUCUGACUCGCAAUCCUCCUGGCUCGGAGCCGCGAUCUAACAUAACAUCACUUUAUUGGGCCCUAUACAAUUUCUUGUAUUAGGAAGCCUACCCCAGCUUGCUCUCCAUGAGACACACAGCCGGAGAGAAGCUGGGGGUCAGAGCGCAGGGUCAGCCAUUUAUACAGCACCCCUGGAGCAGCUGGGGUUCAGGGCCUUGCUCAGGCCCACCGGAGUAGGAUUCCUCUGCCGGCUUCGGGAUUUGAACCGGUAACUUUCCAGCCACAGGUGCAGAUCCUGAGCCACAGAGCCACCGCUCCGCCCUUGUGCAGGAGACGGAAAUCAGAUCAGUAGAAAGGGGUCGACGGGACAGUACACCGUGUCAACAAAGCAGAGCCGCGCCCUUUCCUGAAACAACCCGAAACGCGGUACCCGCUGAUUUUCAGGAGCGGUGGGGCCGGGGGCAGCGGAAGACUGCAGAAUGUGCAGCAGGUUGCUGGGGGGGGGGGGGGGGUUCUGCAGAAGUGGAGUAGCAACAGUCUCUCUCCUCCUUUCCCCCUGUGUGUUUUAAAACCUUUUCACGUUCCGCCGUCACAUUACCUGCCCGGUUACCACGAGAGAGGGCGGGGCCAGGGACAGCCAGCCAGCCAAUCAGCGCACCGCUCCCCAAAUACAAACCGUGAUGGCCGUGGUCUUGUUUCCGCUGGUGGUCUUUCUUUGAUGGCUUUUGUCUUCAUGUAAUUAGUCGACUAAUGCAAAGAAUGGGCUCUUGUGUGGAGUAACUACACGAUGUUCCCUUUGAUUGUUCUAAAACGCCGCCUAAUAUUUAGAUACAUGUUCCUCAAGUGAGGUUAUGUUCCUAUAAACACCAACAGGAAUUGUAUAGUUUGUUGAAAUUAGAAACGCACUGGUGUGUCCUUAUUAACAUUAGCCCGUGAGGUUAAACAACUGUGUGUGGUCAUGCAUUUAUUUUUUGCACGAAAUUAACGAUGUUGUUUUCCCCGUUUUGAGUCAUUUCCACUUUCUAGACUAGAUCCAAACUGCUCCAGCUGAAUGAACACCGGGCACACGAAGUUGAGAAGCGUCCGAAGGGGCGAGCUGCCCCCUGCCGCCUGCGCGCAGACUGCGGAGCGAGCGAGCGAGCGAGCUCGGGGCCCGUGGCCAUCCUCGUGAGGGAAUCCGCGAGCCCAGCCCGCGCCUCAUCCUCCAGCAUCCGCGUGCAGCAAAACAGCAGCCUCGCUCUUGCCUCCAAAUUAUAUAAACAACGACUUGCCCAGCACAAAGUAUUUGAUUGGAAACUGAGGUAAGAACGAAUAAUGAAACAGAAAUCACAAAAAACACGACAGAAUCAAUGUUUCCUGGCUUUCAGUGCCAAUCUUGGGUGGGAAAAAAACCCCAAGAACAACAGGGACAUCGUUGUGAAUAAAAAGUAAACAUCUUCAACCUUUCCGACACAGCCCCUAGACUGCUGGUGAUCUCAAUAGAGAUACAAGUGCUUCUUUUUGCAUCUGUGUUUUUGCAUAACACAGAGACUCUUGAGGGGGUUGGAAUAUUUAUAACAAAAUAAUUGCUGCAAUGUUUGCAUCGAGCAGGAAUCCGCCUUGAAUUGUCGCAGCGCGAAGCACGGUUUCUGACGAAAGAGUUUGCCUUCUGCGGGUCUUUAGUGCGUAAGGGGCAAUGGCGAAGUUCUGGGCGCUCAGUAGUUAUUGCCAGUCGGCCGGGCAGAAGACGCUCCAAGUCCCUGCUGUCUUGGAGCGGCGCCCCUCCGCAAAGAUUCCACACACGUGAAACUCGAGUCCGGAGAGCCACGCGGCAGUUUCUCCCCCCUGCUCGUGGCGCGCGGGGCUGCCAGGUGGCGGCGAGACUCAGCUGUGGAUCAGGGCGCGUGCUUUAUUAGCCCGAAGGCGCCUUCUCCGAAACUGACCUUCACCCGGCGUGGAGUUUCAAUGGGCCGGAGGACGGAAGAGUAAUUGGAAUAUUUAUGUUACGAGAAGUUCCUGCAAGGUCGGACGUGCAUUCUCUUUAAUUCUGCACUUGCACCCACUCCAGUCCCAGAAACAGGGUUUAAAUCCCCCCAGUGGGUUGUGUAGAUUGUAUUAUGUAUUUGCCUUGUAAUUUGCACUAUCUGCACUUGGCACUAUGUGUGUCCUGUCUACAGUGUCUAUGUCAGUGUCCUGUCUGUCCUGCCUGUAUUUGCAGCGUGGACGAGGAGGAGCGAUAUUUCCUUCCACUGUAUACUUGUAUGUGGCUGGAAUGACAAAUAAACGUGAACUUGAACCUGUGUGGGCAUUCUGUUUUAAUGAUCACGAGCAGGGCGC